UGGGGAUUUUCCGCAAUGGGGGGAACCCUGACGGAGCAACGCCGCGUGCGGGAGGAAGGCCUGUGGGUUGUAAACCGCUUUUCUCUAGGAAGAAGGUCUGACGGUACUAGAGGAAUCAGCAUCGGCUAACUCCGUGCCAGCAGCCGCGGUAAGACGGAGGAUGCAAGCGUUAUCCGGAAUUAUUGGACGUAAAGCGUCCGUAGGCGGUUUUUCAAGUCAGUUGUUAAAGACUGCAGCUCAACUGUGGGCGAGCAACUGAAACUGAUGAACUAGAGUGCGGUAGGGGUAGAGGGAAUUCCCAGUGUAGCGGUGAAAUGCGUAGAUAGUGGGAAGAACACCAGUGGCGAAGGCGCUCUACUGGGCCGCAACGGACGCUGAGGGACGAAAGCUAGGGGAGCGAAAGGGAUUAGAUACCGCCGUAGUCC
rnacentral:rRNA from 1 species